GAGUGGCGGACGGGUGAGUAACGCGUGGGAACCUGCCCUUGAGUGCGGGAUAACCGAGGGAAACUUCGGCUAAUACCGCAUGAUCGGGGGAAAGAUUUAUCGCUCGAGGAGGGGCCCGCGUCGGAUUAGCUAGUUGGUGGGGUAACGGCCUACCAAGGCGAUGAUCCGUAGCUGGUCUGAGAGGAUGAUCAGCCACACUGGGACUGAGACACGGCCCAGACUCCUACGGGAGGCAGCAGUAGGGAAUAUUGGACAAUGGGGGCAACCCUGAUCCAGCAAUGCCGCGUGAGUGAUGAAGGCCUUAGGGUUGUAAAGCUCUUUCGCGCGCGACGAUGAUGACGGUAGCGCGAGAAGAAGCCCCGGCUAACUUCGUGCCAGCAGCCGCGGUAAUACGAAGGGGGCGAGCGUUGUUCGGAAUUACUGGGCGUAAAGGGCGCGCAGGCGGCUCUUCAAGUCAGGCGUGAAAGCCCCGGGCUUAACCUGGGAAUUGCGCUUGGGACUGGAGGGCUUGAGUACGGGAGAGGAGAGUGGAAUUCCCAGUGUAGAGGUGAAAUUCGUAGAUAUUGGGAAGAACACCGGUGGCGAAGGCGGCUCUCUGGACCGUAAC
rnacentral:rRNA from 1 species